UGAAGACUCCAUUGAGGAGAUGUGGACACAGAGAGUCCAGGUCACCUCCAUCCACUGGAGCGGCAAGACCAGGGAUGCACCUCAGGUGAGAGAUGGCAGCGUCUUCCGCUGUUGCCCCAACGAGCGGCUUGUUUGCGGUGUAACUGCCUGAUGGUAUCUCGCACGGUGCUUUGGCUGGAGAUGGCCUCUUCCUGGCCCCAAGUCCCUCCUAUGGUAAGAGAAGAUGAGGGACAAUGUCAUCAACAGAACCUGUUGCCCAGCCUGGCUUAUCCUCUACCACCAGCUGUGUGAACCAUCACCACCAACCCACCAUUUCACCAUGCCUCAGUUUCCUAACCUGUAAAAUGGGAUAAUAGUAUGAAGAGUCCUGUGACAUUAAAUGAGAUCAUGUA